UACAGGGGGGGCAAGCGUUGUUCGGAAUUACUGGGCGUAAAGGGCGCGUAGGCGGCCACCGCAAGUCGGUUGUGAAAUCUCCGGGCUUAACCCGGAAAGGUCAACCGAUACUGCGGGGCUAGAGUGCAGAAGGGGCAACUGGAAUUCUCGGUGUAGCGGUGAAAUGCGUAGAUAUCGAGAGGAACACCUGCGGCGAAGGCGGGUUGCUGGGCUGACACUGACGCUGAUGCGCGAAAGCUAGGGGAGCGAACGGG
rnacentral:rRNA from 1 species